AAGGCCUGUGAAGACACGGCAGAGGACUCAGUUGGCACUGUGCACACGUUGUAUACCAUGCCCAUUCCCACACUUUGAGGGCGUGGGAGUGUUUUUUGUUUUUGUUUUUGUUUUUCCCAUCAGGGCAUCACAAAGACUGGUUACAAAUGACAGUGACCAGCUGGAAAAGAAAACGGUACAGCUGUGUGGCUGCCCUGCAUCCACAGUACCUUCCUCCUGAAUAGUUUGUAACCUUGCUCCAAGACCCCUCCUUCUCUGCUUCCCUGAAUGCACUGCCCUUGUAUUACCUGCCUGCAUGGUGGCCCUUCUGACUUCCCUCCCUACCCACAAUUCAUCUGUGCUCACAAUACACUGGACUGAAUUUUUCCACAACAGACUGAGGAGCGAAUUAGUAGAAGAUCCACUGACAUACUGAUUCCAAGGCAGGAUUUCGAAGACUGUGAUGGGAAACCUGCAAGCGGAUCCUCAGAUCAACUGAACAGGUUGCAAAAAAGUCAGCGGAUGGAGUGAGUUUAAGUGAAUAAGAAAAUCUUCAGAGAGCAUCGUGGUUAGCCUGUGCACACUCUUUUCAUCCACAUGUGCGGAGACCAAGCUGGGAAAGAGAUGGGGGAACUGGACGGACAUUCCCAGACAGUGAAGCAGCACAGAUCAGCGCACCCCAUCAUAUAGCAUCUUGAAUUCAUAACAGACCAGAUGCCCAGCUCUGUCAGAGCGAACUGGGGUGUCAGGAACUUACUUACAUCCACUAGCCAGAAAAGGAGAGGUCAAUGGUUCCUUUGAUGGUAGGAGAUGAAAACAGUUCCCUGAGUCUCCAGUCACAAGCAGGCAGAGCCUGGAGACUUUAAGAAGCAGCGUGAAUAAUGGAAUCUGACAUAUUUUCUCAUGGAGAGGGGCAAGCCUUAACACCCACUUCUCAAGGACCCAAGCCAUAUAUUUACCCGCUAUAAAUAGCAAACCCAAGUAAACAUGGCAGACCAGAACUCCUACGACCCAGAGCGUCUGCUCACCCCAUCUCCACCACAGGCGUAGGGACAUGUACUUUUUAGUGCCGUCUCCAGAAUCCUCCUCACUGGGGUUCCAACAACCAACUCCUGAGACAGGCACCAACAGUGGGGUCCCUCCUGUUGUCCUCAGUACAUCCCAACCAGAACAAACAUGCCGGGAACCUGCUGUCUUAUACUGACCCAGACACAGUGUAUAUCGGGUUAUCUGUACCAAACUCGGCAUGAGAGUUCAAUAACAUCCCUCUUUCCAAUUCUCACGUCAAUCAUAACAUCAUCCCUCACAGAACUGACCUGAGGGUGUGAGCUUUUCAGUUGGGUUGUGCUGCCUCAGCUUGCUUUACAUAAAUCAUACGGAUGAGAAUAUCUAGAAAGAGCCCAUUAGAAACUUUCCAACUGCUAGCAAGCUGUAUGUUGGGUCAGGUAAAGUAUCAUGUUUGUGCAAAGUAAUGGCUUUACCUACAGCCUGUUCAAUAAUGCAUAAACUGAAAUACUUUGGCAUGGGAAAAAAAACAAGAACAAAGGAGGAAUAGAAAAUCCCAAAACAAAACACUGGCAAGAUGCUGUUUUCUGGGUCUUAGGAGCAAGAUUUUAACAUCGACAUUGAAGAUCUGUGCUCCGAGAAAAUUCUCAAUCUUCUGAAAUCUAUUAGCAUACGAGGAUGGUACUGGGUAGCAAAAUACUUACAGACUGUUUCCAGGGCCCUGCAUUUACUUCUCCCAACAGAAAAACACAGCUGUGGCAUUUACAAUUAAGAAAUCUUAGAGGUCCACCUGUGCAAUAACCUGCUACUACACAGUACCAUGGGCGACACAAAUUAAUCUCCUGAAGUUCUGGAAGUUGGAAGUCUAAAAUCACAGAGCUGGCAGACUGGGUGAGGUCCCACCUCCUGUCACACACAGCAGUAGAAUGGGGUCUCCUGGCUGUAUCCUCACCUGGUGGGAAGGGGGAAAGAGGUUCCCCUAAGCCCUCUUUAAAAAGAACACUCAGCCACCAUUUUUGAGGCCUCUCAAAGGACUCACACUUCCCAAGAGGUGGUGGUGAUGAGGGGGACGGGAUGAGGUUUCAACACACCAAGCUUGGGGCACAGCAGCCUGGCUGGCAUUUUUCAGCUCCUGUUGUGCUGAGUCCUGUCGUAUACUGCCAAGGAGACUCAGAGGCAAGUGCCCCUGUCCCUGAUAUCUCCUCCUUAGCACCUCUGAGCAGCUACAAUGCUGUUUCCUCUCCACAGGACCCUGGGCAGCAGGGAGAUCAACAAUACGCUCAGCAGUCGACACAGGGUUUUAGAGCCUCCGGAGGGCUGACUGGACUGGCUAAGUUGUCCCGGGCCAGGCAGCAGCCCUCCUUGGCACAAAGCUGCCCAAGGUGGGUAAGGUUUGCCAGCUACAGAAGGCAAUCAAGCUCCUAAUGAAGCCACCUCUCUAGAAACCCAGAGGCCACAGACUGUACCACAG